rnacentral:rRNA from 1 species
GCCUAGCCCUAAAUCCUGAUGUUUCCUACACACAAACAUCCGCCCGAGAACUACGAGCACAAACGCUUAAAACUCUAAGGACUUGGCGGUGCCCUAAACCCACCUAGAGGAGCCUGUUCUAUAACCGAUAAUCCACGAUACACCCAACCACUCCUUGCCAAAACAGCCUACAUACCGCCGUCGCCAGCCCACCUCCAUGAGAGCACAACAGUGAGCUCAAAAGCCCACCUUUUAAUUCGCUAGCAAGACAGGUCAAGGUAUAGCCCAUGGAGUGGAAGAAAUGGGCUACAUUUUCUAAACUAGAACACAUCCAACGAAAAGAGAUCUGAAACCUAUCUCUAAGAAGGCGGAUUUAGCAGUAAAGAGGGACAAUCAAGCCCUCUUUAAGCCGGCCCUAGGGC